GUGUGUGUGUGUGUGUAUUUAAUUCUGCUGAACCAGAAGGGAAGAAUUGGGUGGAAUAAUAUCUACUUGCUGAACAGAGGUAUAGUGACACUUGCUAUCCAACCCCAGCUAAAGAGUUCCUGUGUUUUUAACUAAAGGUGGUAUUAGAAGUGUUAUUGGCAAUGUUGUUUUCCUUUUCAUUGUUAAGUGCAUUCAUUAACUCUAAUUGAUAUUUCAGGGCCUGUAUCUUGGUUGAUAAAAGCUUAGGAUAAAGUAUGAUUCUCCUAUUUUUAGGUUUUGGAAAAAACACAGCUCUUAGGAAAAAGCGGUGUGCAACAUGACAAAGGACGAGCCUGUUCCCCCUCGCUACCCCCAGGCAUGCGGUGAAGGGCACUAAAUGACCUUGGAAGCUCCAUAAUUCAAUAGAGUUUCACGUGAAUGAGGCAUUAUUUGAUCUGAAAGCUACAGGGAUCAGGCCAAGAAAAGCUUGCUUCGAAAGCCGGAGGAGAGAACCACAGGGGGAAAUGUACGAGAACGUUGAGGAUGCUUUCGCUGCACCGGCCAACGCGUGACUUUGUCUAUUACAAAUCUGAUUUUAAUGUGGUCCGUGAAUUCUGCACUGGAAAAAAAAAAAAAGAAAGGAAAAGAAAAGGGGAAAAACAUUCAGGUUGCCAAGGCCAGUCUACGAGGACUCAGAGCCACAGAUGAACAAAAGUCCGGAUCAGCUACUUAAUCUAACUCAAAAGUGACCUCCUUCAGGAAGCCUCCCGGCCCUCCCCCAUCAAGGCCGAGGUGAAAGUCUGUCGUGGGUUGUGUCUCUUGUCAUCUUCAGCCCUUCUUUCAGCGAACUUCUCAUGUGUAUUGCCAACGGGGGUUUGUCUGUCACACUAGUAGACUGGUGGCCCUUAAUGGCAGCUGUGGGAGAAAGACCUGGUUUAUGGCAGGUGUUCAACAAAUAUUUGCUGAGCAAAUGCGCCAGUUUAUGUAGAGAAGAUAAAAUUCACGUGGUCUGUACUCAGAAGCCAACUGAUGAUGUUCUCUGGGGUGACAAAGAGAAAACAAGAGGCGACUGAGGAAGAAAAAAAGAUGAACCCCGCAAUAUCCUAAUAUUGACAUGGUUCUCUUCCGAUGGUUGAGGUUUCCGACCAGGGCUGCUGAGUUGGUUGGGCGGAGAAGGAGAGGUGGAUCCUCAACCAUACCUCAGUUUUCAGUUCGUAUGAUGUUUUGGCUGGAAUUCUGGGUCCGUUACCAAGAGACUAGGACACACACGCCUCUCCUCUGGGAACCAAGAGGUAAGAACAGCAACAACCAGCUACAGCCAGAAGCUCUAUUGAGGAAAAGGGAAAGCAGAAAGAUUAAUGUUGCGAGCUCUUCCUGUGUGUUCCGCGCCAGUAGGCAAUUUCUCACCUUCUCUGAUGUAUCCUCUUGACUUUUCUGGAGGUAGAAUUGCCUUAAAUCUUUACCUGUGAAGGAAAUCAGAGGCAAAGGAAUUAGGAGACUAAUCUGCACGAAGUCAGAUAGCUAGCCAGGGAGAAGUUGAGUUGGACACAAAGUAACCACCCUCUGGAAACUCAGAUGGACCGCGAUUUAAAAGCCAAGCAAUGGCCGCCCCCAAAUAGGGGAGUCCCUGUCCUAAUACUAACACAGGAAAUGACCAGGAUGUUGAGAUAUCUCCCUUUAACUUUAUUUUACAUGUGAAGUACAAAAAAAAAAAAAAAAAAAAGACAGAAUCUAUCAGGAAAAAUGAAUUCAGCUCCUCUGGUUGCCGCGGAGACAAACUACUUACCAACCACCUCCGAACCUUUUUCGUGGGGAACAACCACAAUUGAGAUUUCUAACUUCCAAGAAUUGUAUUCAAGGAGGACUGGCUCCCACUCGUUCACAGUCUGGAUUUGAAAACCAAAAUUGAGGGGGGCCUCCUGUACUCAUUUCCUGGUGUUGAAAAUCUGAGUAGCAAAAACUACUUAAAUCUUAGAGCUUUGUUUCAAGAUCCUGAAUGGAGGCAAGUUUCCGUUUCCUGAGAGGUGUGUACAUUGUGUGUGUGUGUGUGUGUGUGUGAGAGAGAGAGAGAGAAAGAAAGAGAGAGAGAGAGAGAGAGAGAGACAGGGCAAGACAGAGGGCUCUCUAGAAGCUAUUUGAAAUGCCAUUCUAUAGAAUUACACAUAAAACACGAGAGUAAAAAUUAGUUUGUCUCCAAAAGCAUUCUUUAAAUAAGAAUGAAUUUGAGCCAGAAGAAAAGCAGCAUUGUCCUCCCUGGAAAUACCCUCUGCAACACUUGUGAGACAUUGGUUAAACGUGGAGACACAGCUAGUGAAGACAUCCGUGUAUUUACAGACUCAGGGCUGCUACCUAGGCAGGGAAACACGGGGAAGCUGGGCGCUCACCUGAACUCCUUCUCUGGGAAUGGAGGCUUCGUAUGAGAGUGGGUUUAGGGUGGCUGCCGUGUGUGGGUUCAAACAAAGUCCAGAGAAUAGGGCCUGGCGUGAAGUGACACUGGAAUCAGAGAGGCGGUCCUAAGGCAGCAUUAAUUGCAGGUGGAGACGGGACGAAAGUAGGCGUUGGUGGAGGGGCCAGCUACUGGAGACGGGAGCCAGGGAAGGCAUCAGCGUGGGGGUAGAGGGUAGCGUUGUGGAGUUUCUCUGUGGUGCUGGCAGGUAAGCCCCGAGUCUGUGCCAGGCUACCGAAGCAUUAGCCCGUGGUGGACACUGGUUGAGUUCAGCGGGGGAACUGGAGAACACCAGCCCCUUCCUUUCAUAGAAGAGGGCGCCGCGAGUCGGAGGGCAGACAAGUCGUGUGAGGACACCCAGGAAGUGAGAGCUGAAACCACAGCUCAAGUGGCUUGCGGUCUUCUUGGCUGUUUCGAUAAACACAGCCACUGACCGGUACAUUGCUUUCAACCAGCCUUCACGGCUGCCUGUUAUUUCUUUAUUUCAUUAUCUGUGUUCGGUCAGUUGAUGAUAGAAAGAAGCGGGGGAUUUCAGCAGACCGUAAACUUCCCUGAAAUCAUUACCUGUACACUGAACACUAUUUAAUGGCUAUUGGGAUAUAAUCAGUGAACUGAGGUCAGUGUCGGGUGCUGAUU